rnacentral:rRNA from 1 species
CCGAAUUNNUUCCCAGACACACGUACGGGCAGCGUUGUCGGAAUACUGGGUGUAAAGGGAGCCGCAGGCGGGACCAUUUAUUGGAAGUGAAAACCAUGGGCUCAACCCAUGAAUUGCUUUUCAAAACUGUUUUUCUUGAGUAGUGCAGAGGUAGAUGGAAUUCCCGGUGUAGCGGUGGAAUGCGUAGAUAUCGGGAGGAACACCAGUGGCGAAGGCGGUCUACUGGGCACCAACUGACGCUGAGGCUCGAAAGCAUGGGUAGCAAACAGGAUUAGAUACCCUGGUAGUCCAUGCCGUAAACGAUGAUUACUAGGUGUUGGGGGAUUGACCCCCUCAGUGCCGCAGUUAACACAAUAAGUAAUCCACCUGGGGAGUACGACCGCAAGGUUGAAACUCAAAGGAAUUGACGGGGGCCCGCACAAGCAGUGGAGUAUGUGGUUUAAUUCGAAGCAACGCGAAGAACCUUACCAGGUCUUGACAUCCGAUGCAUAGCACAGAGAUGUGUGAAAUCCUUCGGGACAUCGAGACAGGUGGUGCAUGGUUGUCGUCAGCUCGUGUCGUGAGAUGUUGGGUUAAGUCCCGCAACGAGCGCAACCCUUAUUGCCAGUUACUACGUUAAGAGGACUCUGGCGAGACUGCCGUUGACAAAACGGAGGAAGGUGGGGAUGACGUCAAAUCAUCAUGCCCUUUAUGACCUGGGCUACACACGUACUACAAUGGCGUUAAACAAAGAGAAGCAAGACCGCGAGGUGGAGCAAAACUCAAAAACAACGUCUCAGUUCAGAUUGCAGGCUGCAACUCGCCUGCAUGAAGUCGGAAUUGCUAGUAAUCGCGGAUCAGCAUGCCGCGGUGAAUACGUUCCCGGGCCUUGUACACACCGCCCGUCACACCAUGAGAGCCGGGGGGACCCGAAGUCGAUAGUCUAACCGCAAGGAGGACGUCGCCGAAGGUAAAACUGGUGAUUGGGGUGAAGUCGUAACAAGGUAGCCGUAAGGGCGAAUUCGUUUUUUAAAGGG